rnacentral:tRNA from 1 species
GUAAGUAUAGUUUAAAAUAAAACAUCAGAUUGUGAAUCUGAUAUUAGAAACUAAACUUUCUUACUUACC